GAUAUAUUUCUGCUUUUGAAUUCAUGAACUUCCUUUAUGUCUUUUCUUUACAGGCGAUGAUGAGCCCAAUGAUGAAGCGAAGGGAGAGUUGUGCAACUCUACAGUUUUCAUGAAACAUCCAUAUACUAGCCUUCUGACUGUGAUUCUGGCUGUUCUGAUGUCGUUUUUCAUUUUUGGUGCUCUUGGUUUGGUUGUUAUUUUUGAACAUCAUUGUGCAGGUAUGAUAAGUAAGAAAUUCUAAGGCAAAUUUUCACAUUUUCAAUGUGUAGAUUUGUACUUAAACUUGACAUAUGGCCUUUAUAUUCCAUGUUUAAGCAAAGGAAAAUCUGCACACGGACAGCCUGAAGACUCAAGACUCUUCUGACCCAAACUCUGCUGCUCUUAAGUUUUCAAAAUCCAGAAGAAGUGGACGACCUGCAGAAAGCAGACAGUUGGAGACUUGUGUGAUGUAUUCUGUCAGAAGACAAACUUACAGUUCUGUUUGAAUAAAGAUCUGUUCUUUUUUUAUUUCAAAUGCUGUUAGUCUACAUAUCUUAGAACCAAACCACAUGUUUGAUUGGGGGACUCACACAAGGCUCUGGUGGUUUUGAAUGAUCAUGAUAAGAAUCUGAAACGGCUUGAGAAUGUGAGAAGUGACAGGAAGAGAUAGUAUUGUCUGAGCUCACCUCAUCCGUGUCUAUAUUCAACAUAAAGAGCCUGAAAAAGAACAGUUAAAGUAACCAUCACUACCCUGAUUUAUCAGAAUCAGAAAUACUUUAUUGAUCUCACACAUGGGAAAUUUGUGCGUUGUAAUCAUAAAAACAAA